GUGAUGAUGUUUUUGUGCAAAAUUCAGGAUUCAGAAAUAAGAGAGUAGUAUCAAACAUGAAACAGAAGCCAUUUUUUUCCAGCUGAACAUUUUCAAACUCGUUUCAAGUUAUCAAAUACCAAAAUUCACAUAGUAAAAAACAGAGAACAACGCAAUGCAUGGAAUAUACACUUACCAACAAAUUGAACAUAAGUAAAGUGAGAAAGAAAAGACAUAGAAAAUGUGACCAAUGAAUACAAAUAGGACAUGCAGAUGCACUCACAUACCCACCCACACACAAAAAUAAGAAAUAACUUGGAGUGGCAGAGGAGAGACUAAUGAUGUCUCUCUAAUCUCUUCAUCAACUCUUGCGCCAACAGUUUCAUCCAUGUUUCUCUU
rnacentral:lncRNA from 1 species